UUUGGAAGGACUAGCACUUAUUAGAUAUUAAACCAAUCGUCGCAAGACGUUUUAUGGUGAUUCAUAAUAACUGAACAAAUCACAUAGUCUUGUACUGGUGAUGUUUCAUUCAAAUUUCUGCCCUAUCAACUAGAUGGUAGUAUAUAGGACUACCAUGGUUGUAACGGGUGACGGAGGAUUUGGGUUGACACCGGAGAAGGAGCAUGAGAAACGGCUACUAUUUCUAAGGAAAGCAGCAGGCGCGCAAAUUAUUCAAUGGAAACAAUUAUCCGAAAUAGUGACAAAAAAUAUCAAUGCUGGGUACUAUGUAUCUAGUAAUUGGAAUGAGUACAAUUUAAAUCCCUUAACAAGUAACAAUUAGAGGGCAAGUCUGGUGCCAGCAGCCGCGGUAAUUCCAGCUCUAAUAGCGUAUAUUAAUAUUGUUGCAGUUAAAAAGCUCGUAGUUGAAAUUUGAGACUUUUUUAUAAUGGUUUGUCUUUUGAUGAACUUUAUAAUGGGUUUCUUCCUACUAGAAUUCGAUUCUGUUCUUAAUUGAAUGGAGUAGUUAUCUUUCGGGGUAAUCAAUUGGUUAUUAUGUCUCCAUUAAUAAGCUGAGAGGGGUAAAACUUUCAAUGUAAGUUAUAUGGAUCAAGAUAUAGUAAUUAAUUGGAGUUCUAGUUCGUUUACUUUGAGAAAAUUAGAGUGUUUAAAGCAGCCUCUUGGGGCUCUGAAUACAUUAGCAUGGGAUAAUAAAAUAGGAUCUUUACAAUAUAUUUUAUUGGUUUAAAUUGAUUUAAAGAUAAUGAUUAAUAGGGACAGUUGGGGGUAUUUAUAUUGGGUGGUUAGCGGUGAAAUGCUCGGAUCCAUUCAAGAUAAACUAAAGCGAAAGCAUUUACCAAGAUGUUUUCAUUAAUCAAGAACGAAAGUUAAGGGAUCGAAGACGAUUAGAUACCGUCGUAGUCUUAACUAUAAACUAUGCCGACCAGGGAUAUGAGUUGUUAGGAAUAUACGAAAGUAUAUUCAAUUUCUUCUUAUGGACCUUGUGAGAAAUCAUAAGUGUUUGGGUUCUGGGGGGAGUAUGGUCGCAAGGCUGAAACUUAAAGGAAUUGACGGAGGGGCACCACCAGGAGUGGAGCGUGCGGCUUAAUUUGACCCAACACGGGAAAACUUACCAGGUCCAGACAUUAGAAGGAUUGACAGAUUGAUAGCUCUUUCAUGAUUUGAUGGGUGGUGGUGCAUGGCCGUUCUUAGUUGGUGGAGUGAUUUGUCUGGUUAAUUCCGAUAACGAACGAGACCUUUACCAUACUAACUAGUUAUAUAUAAACUUUUGUUUAUAUAGAUGAACUUCUUAGAGGGACUAUUGGUUUACAAACCAAAGGAAGUAAAGGCGAUAACAGGUCUGUGAUGCCCUUAGAUGUUCUGGGCUGCACGCGCGCUACAAUGAUAA
rnacentral:rRNA from 1 species